rnacentral:tRNA from 1 species
GCAGACAUAGUUUAAACCCAAACACUAGACUGUGACUCUAAAGAUAGAAGUUAAAACCCUUCUUGUCUGCC